rnacentral:rRNA from 1 species
AAAUUAGUACCGAAGUCCGGGAUGGAAGAUGGCGAGAAAAGCUGUGUGUAUUUCUGCGGUGCCCGUACCGCAAACCGACACAGGUAGGUAGGAAGAAGAUUCUAAGGCCAACGGGAGAAGGGUUGUUAAGGAACUCGGCAAAUUGACCCCGUAACUUCGGGAGAAGGGGUGCUCUAGAGAUAGAGCCGCAGAGAAUCGGCCCAAGCAACUGUUUACCAAAAACACAGGUUUGUGCUAAAUCGAAAGAUGACGUAUACGAGCUGACGCCUGCCCGGUGCUGGAAGGUUAAGAGGAGAUGUGCAAGCAUUGAAUCGAAGCCCCAGUGAACGGCGGCCGUAACAAUAACGGUCCUAAGGUAGCGAAAUUCCUUGUCAGGUAAGUUCUGACCCGCAUGAAAGGCGUAAUGAUUUGGGCACUGUCUCGACAGCCCGCCCGGCGAAAUUGUAGUACCGGUGAAGAUGCCGGUUACCCGCGACAAGACGGAAAGACCCCAUGGAGCUUUACUGUAGCCUAAUAUUGGGUUUCGAUGUUGCAUGCACAGGAUAGAUGGGACACUGGGAAGCAAGUGCUUUGGCAUUUGUGGAGUGGCCGUUGGGAUACCAUCCUUGCGAUAUUGGAAUUCUAACCUGCGCCUUUGAAUCAAGGCGGGGGACAUUGUUAGGUGGGCAGUUUGACUGGGGCGGUCGCCUCCUAAAGAGUAACGGAGGCGUUCAAAGGUUCGCUCAGCUUGAACGGAAAUCAAGCAAAAGAGUGCAAACGCAGAAGCGAGCCUAACUGCGAGACUGACGGGUCGAGCAGUAACGAAAGUUGGAGUUAGUGAUCCGGUGGUAUGUGAGUGGAAAUGCCAUCGCUCAACGGAUAAAAGUUACCCUGGGGAUAACAGGCUGAUCUCCCCCAAGAGUCCACAUCGACGGGGAGGUUUGGCACCUCGAUGUCGGCUCAUCGCAUCCUGGGGCUGUAUUCGGUCCCAAGGGUUUGGCUGUUCGCCAAUUAAAGCGGUACGCGAGCUGGGUUCAGAACGUCGUGAGACAGUUCGGUCCCUAUCUGUCGUGGGCGCAGGAUAUUUGAUGGGAGCUGUUCCUAGUACGAGAGGACCGGAGCGGACGUACCUCUGGCGCACCAGUUGUUCUGCCAAGGGCAUAGCUGGGCAACUAUGUACGGAUCGGAUAAACGCUGAAAGCAUCUAAGCGUGAAGCCGACCCAAAGAUAAGAUAUCCCAUUGUUUCAAACAAGUAAGACCCCUUGAAGACUACAAGGUUGAUAGGCACGAUGUGUAAGUGGAGUGAUCCAUUCAGCAAGCGUGUACUAAUAGGUCGAGGGCUUGACCUU